rnacentral:misc_RNA from 1 species
AACGCAAGUUGCGCCCGAAGCCUUGGCUGAGGGCACGUCUGCCUGGGUGUCACACAUCGUGCUGCCUCCAAACCCUCCGCCCCUCGAUCGCUGUUGCGGCGACGGUUUGGAUGCGGAAGCUGGCCUCCCGCGGCCACGAGCCACGGAUGGCCCAAACGCGUGCUGGGGAAGCGGAGCGCUACGGCAUUCGGUGGUUUAUCCAAGCACCGGAAGCAGUGCCGGCGGCGGCCGCACGUGUCCCCGGCCCACGGCCCUAAACGCUAACCGACGCGACCUCAGGUCAGGCGGGGCUACCCGCUGAGUUUAA